AGAGUUUGAUCCUGGCUCAGGAUGAACGCUGGCGGCGUGCCUAAUACAUGCAAGUCGAGCGAACGGACGAGAAGCUUGCUUCUCUGAUGUUAGCGGCGGACGGGUGAGUAACACGUGGAUAACCUACCUAUAAGACUGGGAUAACUUCGGGAAACCGGAGCUAAUACCGGAUAAUAUUUUGAACCGCAUGGUUCAAAAGUGAAAGACGGUCUUGCUGUCACUUAUAGAUGGAUCCGCGCUGCAUUAGCUAGUUGGUAAGGUAACGGCUUACCAAGGCAACGAUGCAUAGCCGACCUGAGAGGGUGAUCGGCCACACUGGAACUGAGACACGGUCCAGACUCCUACGGGAGGCAGCAGUAGGGAAUCUUCCGCAAUGGGCGAAAGCCUGACGGAGCAACGCCGCGUGAGUGAUGAAGGUCUUCGGAUCGUAAAACUCUGUUAUUAGGGAAGAACAUAUGUGUAAGUAACUGUGCACAUCUUGACGGUACCUAAUCAGAAAGCCACGGCUAACUACGUGCCAGCAGCCGCGGUAAUACGUAGGUGGCAAGCGUUAUCCGGAAUUAUUGGGCGUAAAGCGCGCGUAGGCGGUUUUUUAAGUCUGAUGUGAAAGCCCACGGCUCAACCGUGGAGGGUCAUUGGAAACUGGAAAACUUGAGUGCAGAAGAGGAAAGUGGAAUUCCAUGUGUAGCGGUGAAAUGCGCAGAGAUAUGGAGGAACACCAGUGGCGAAGGCGACUUUCUGGUCUGUAACUGACGCUGAUGUGCGAAAGCGUGGGGAUCAAACAGGAUUAGAUACCCUGGUAGUCCACGCCGUAAACGAUGAGUGCUAAGUGUUAGGGGGUUUCCGCCCCUUAGUGCUGCAGCUAACGCAUUAAGCACUCCGCCUGGGGAGUACGACCGCAAGGUUGAAACUCAAAGGAAUUGACGGGGACCCGCACAAGCGGUGGAGCAUGUGGUUUAAUUCGAAGCAACGCGAAGAACCUUACCAAAUCUUGACAUCCUUUGACAACUCUAGAGAUAGAGCCUUCCCCUUCGGGGGACAAAGUGACAGGUGGUGCAUGGUUGUCGUCAGCUCGUGUCGUGAGAUGUUGGGUUAAGUCCCGCAACGAGCGCAACCCUUAAGCUUAGUUGCCAUCAUUAAGUUGGGCACUCUAAGUUGACUGCCGGUGACAAACCGGAGGAAGGUGGGGAUGACGUCAAAUCAUCAUGCCCCUUAUGAUUUGGGCUACACACGUGCUACAAUGGACAAUACAAAGGGCAGCGAAACCGCGAGGUCAAGCAAAUCCCAUAAAGUUGUUCUCAGUUCGGAUUGUAGUCUGCAACUCGACUACAUGAAGCUGGAAUCGCUAGUAAUCGUAGAUCAGCAUGCUACGGUGAAUACGUUCCCGGGUCUUGUACACACCGCCCGUCACACCACGAGAGUUUGUAACACCCGAAGCCGGUGGAGUAACCUUUUAGGAGCUAGCCGUCGAAGGUGGGACAAAUGAUUGGGGUGAAGUCGUAACAAGGUAGCCGUAUCGGAAGGUGCGGCUGGAUCCCCU
rnacentral:rRNA from 1 species